AACGAACGCUGGCGGCAUGCCUAACACAUGCAAGUCGAACGAGACCUUCGGGUCUAGUGGCGCACGGGUGCGUAACGCGUGGGAACCUGCCCUUAGGUUCGGAAUAACUCCCCGAAAGGGGUGCUAAUUCCGGAUAAUGUCUUCGGACCAAAGAUUUAUCGCCUCUGGAUGGGCCCGCGUUGGAUUAGCUAGUUGGUAGGGUAAAAGCCUACCAAGGCGACGAUCCAUAGCUGGUCUGAGAGGAUGAUCAGCCACACUGGGACUGAGACACGGCCCAGACUCCUACGGGAGGCAGCAGUGGGGAAUAUUGGACAAUGGGCGAAAGCCUGAUCCAGCAAUGCCGCGUGAGUGAUGAAGGCCUUAGGGUUGUAAAGCUCUUUUACCCGGGAUGAUAAUGACAGUACCGGGAGAAUAAGCUCCGGCUAACUCCGUG
rnacentral:rRNA from 1 species